CCCGUAGCCAGCGGAUGCUGCUGGUUCCUAGGAGGCGUGACUUCGAGCAGUUAGAAAUUCUGUCAGACAAAAUCCUACCAGCUGAGGGAACAUACCUUGUGGCGGCGCACCAGGACUACAAAAGUCGAGUCCUCAAGAGGAGUGAUUAAGUAGGGUUCCUGGCACACCGUGAACAUGCAACAAUGGCGUUUAUAUCACAGUCAUUCAUAGAAUCGGUUUGGAGAGGGGAAUUUCCACUGAACUUUCAUAGGGAAACUGUUUUAGAUGACUGAGAAACUUCUGCUCCAUCAAACUAAAUUGUGUUUGCACAGAAGUUAGAAUUAGCUGUAAUCAGAGAGUACUGAUUGGACUAAGGAUAUUCCAAAACUAAGGAAAACAAUACCCCCCCCAAACAAACAAACAAAAACAACUACUAUGAAACUAUAAAGUUGAGGGACCAAUGAGAUGGCCCAGCAGGUAAAGGCACUCGCUUCCAAACCCGAGGACCACAGGAUGGAAGGACAGGACUCCUCAAGACUGCCCUCUGACCACGCAUUCACACUGGCAUAUAUGCACAUACACACAAAUAAUUAAUAAAUAAAUAAA